GAUGAACGCUAGCGGCAGGCUUAAUACAUGCAAGUCGUGGGGCAGCAUGAAUGUAGCAAUACAUUUGAUGGCGACCGGCAAACGGGUGCGGAACACGUACACAACCUUCCUAUAAGUGGGGAAUAGCCCAGAGAAAUUUGGAUUAAUACCCCGUAACAUAAUGAUGUGGCAUCACAUUAUUAUUAUAGCUACGGCGCUUAUUGAUGGGUGUGCGGCUGAUUAGAUAGUUGGCGGGGUAACGGCCCACCAAGUCUACGAUCAGUAGCUGAUGUGAGAGCAUGAUCAGCCACACGGGCACUGAGACACGGGCCCGACACCUACGGGAGGCAGCAGUAAGGAAUAUUGGUCAAUGGACGCAAGUCUGAACCAGCCAUGCCGCGUGAAGGAUUAAGGUCUUCGGAUUGUAAACUUCUGUCAAUUGGGGACGAAGGUACUAGGGUUAAUAGCCUUUAGUAUUGACGGUACCCAAUAAGGAAGUCUCGGCUUACUCCGUGCCAGCCGCCGCGGUAAAAC
rnacentral:rRNA from 1 species